rnacentral:rRNA from 1 species
AUUCCCCUAGUAACUGCGAGUGAAGCGGGAAAAGCUCAAAUUUAAAAUCUGGUGGCCUUUGUCCAUCCGAGUUGUAAUUUAGAGAAGCGUCUUCCGCGCUGGACCGUGCACAAGUCUCCUGGAAUGGAGCGUCAUAGAGGGUGAGAAUCCCGUCUUUGGCACGGACGCACCAGGGCUUUUGUGAUGCGCUCUCGAAGAGUCGAGUUGUUUGGGAAUGCAGCUCAAAAUGGGUGGUGAACUCCAUCUAAAGCUAAAUAUUGGCGAGAGACCGAUAGCGAACAAGUACCGUGAGGGAAAGAUGAAAAGCACUUUGGAAAGAGAGUGAAACAGUACGUGAAAUUGUUGAAAGGGAAACGCUUGAAGUCAGUCGCGUCGCCCGAGACUCAACCUUGCCUCGGCUUGGUGUACUUCUCGGCUGACGGGUCAGCAUCAAUUUUGCCCCUUGGAUAAUGGCGAGGGAAAUGUGACACCUUUAUAGGUGUGUUAUAGUCUCUAGUCGCAUGCAAGGGUCGGGAUUGAGGAACUCAGCACGCGCCUUUGGGCGUCGGGGCGUUUCGCCCACGAUACGUGCUUAGGAUGUUGGCGUAAUGGCUUUAAACGACCCGUCUUGAAACACGGACCAAGGAGUCUAACAUGCCCGCGAGUGUUCGGGUGGAAAACCCGUGCGCGCAAUGAAAGUGAAAGUUGGGACCUCUGUCGUGGAGGGCACCAACGCCCGGACCAGACCUUCUGUGACGGAUCUGCGGUAGAGCGUGUAUGUUAGGACCCGAAAGAUGGUGAACUAUGCCUGAAUAGGGUGAAGCCAGAGGAAACUCUGGUGGAGGCUCGUAGCGAUUCUGACGUGCAAAUCGAUCGUCAAAUUUGGGUAUAGGGGCGAAAGAC